rnacentral:rRNA from 1 species
AACAAACGCUGGCGGCGUGCCUAAUACAUGCAAGUCGAACGGGGAAAGCUUUCGGGUGAGUACUAGUGGCGCACGGGUGAGGAACGCGUGGAUAAUCUGCCUUAGAGUGGGGGAUAACUAGUCGAAAGAUUAGCUAAUACCGCAUAAGACCACGAGAGCUGCGGCUUUUGGGGUCAAAGGUUUUUCGCUCUAAGAUGAGUCCGCGUAAGAUUAGCUAGUUGGUGAGGUAACGGCUCACUAAGGCGACGAUCUUUAACUGGUCUGAGAGGAUGAUCAGUCACACUGGAACUGAGACGCGGUACAGACUCCUACGGGAGGCAGCAGUAGGGAAUAUUGCACAAUGGAGGAACCUCUGAUGCAGCGACGCCGCGUGAGAGAUGAAGGCCCUCGGGUCGUACAGCUCUGUCGAAGGGGAAUAACACAAUGAAGGUACCCUGUAAGAAAGGAUCGGCUAACUUCGUG